CCUCUCACUUACUCUCUGAAACACACAAACAUGCUCACUCGAGCAGAAGAGCACACACUCAUCCCUGUGAUCAACAUACUGGCCUCUGUACUUUCCUCACUUCACACUGAGCUCACUGUGAAAGCUCACUCACUCUCUGAGCGUGUGUGACUUGGACUCCUGCCCACAGCUCAGCCUCAGAGGAUGGAUGUGGGUCGACAUAUGCAGAAGUCCACUGGGGGAAUAGCAAAAGGGAGAGACAGAGUGGGAGAGAUCAAAGUCUGUCAUAUCAACUCCACUCUGUGUGAGUCAGCCUACCAACAUCGUGAGAGGCAGUGAAGACAUCCUCCCAGACACAAGAAAAUGUCAUCAAAAUGCUGGCAUUAUAGACAGUGUCAUCUAUUUUUAAAUAGAGAGUCAAGUAGAGGCUUAUGUCACCCUCCAAUAAUAGUAAACCACUGAUCCAUUUAUAAAGAGGCUUAUAACUUGCUUAGUAGUACUGUGAAACAUUAAUGCUUUAUUUGAGGAUGCGGUCAAAAGUUUCCCUUUGACAGGAAAGGCUGUCAAAGCUGUCAGUCAGAAGAAACAGACAAGACAGGAGGAGGGUACAGUUUGCAUGCUCUAAUGAACAGGAACUUAUUAGCGGGAGUAUGUCUGUUACUGUCCCACUUGCCUCCCCUCUUUCAUUAGCUGCUUAUCACGCCCGUUAGUGUCAUCUUUAAUACUUCACAUUUUGAUUAGCAUAUGAUCCACAGGGAAAGAAGGAAAAAUCAUUUUAUUAGUGUCAAUUGCUGCUACAAAUGACAAUUUCACUGCCUAAAUUGUAAUUUUACGUUUCCUCCCUGUCAAAGAACAAUGGCUGUGUAAUUACAGUAAUGAGAAGUGCAACAGAAAAAUGAAUUAUUCACAAUCCCAUUCCUUUCUUGUUCUUUUGAA